CCAGUAAAGUUUAUUUGGGGGUGUAUAUUGACUUUAAUAACGCAAGACAUACAAUUUGGAGUAGACAUUUGACCCUUCAAAACUGUCUAAUCCCGAAUUAGUCCUUCUUGAUCUUUGUUCUAUCAUAAUAAACUUUGUCUGACUAAAGUCAUUCCUUCUAGGAUUUUCUCAAUUGCCCUCUCUGAUUUCGAUUGUCUCGUUCAUCGUUGUCUUAUGGCGCCCCUGAGGGUUUUCACCAAUAAG
rnacentral:lncRNA from 1 species